GCCAGGGCCUCGGGCAGCCCCAGUGAGGCACAGGAGCGGAGUGAGCUCGGGGCUCAGGCAGCGGCAGCACAAGGAGCAGGAGCGGCGGCAGCAGCAGCCGAGGCAGCAGCGGGAGGAGCAGCAGCCGCGGGAGCAGCAGCACAGGCCGCCGCUGAGGCACGGGCCUUGGCCGACAGCAGCGCCCUGGAGGACGACCAGAUGGAGCUGGAGGAUGAAGGCGACGCCAUGGAGGAGGAGGAAGCCGGCGACGCUGCCGCCGCCGCCUCCUCAGCCUUUGCCCGCGACCGCGGGCUCGAAGCCGUAGUCGACGACCAGGGUUUCCAGGAGGGGGAGGAGGAGAUCGGCCUUGAGGAGGAGGGUGAGCGGGUGACCGUGGUGGCUGCCUCGGGCCCCUUCCGCCACCCGCAGCUGCCCUUGGAGGGGGCGUUUGGAGCCGGCUCCCUUUCCCUUCUUUAUAGAGGAGGAGGAGGAGGAGGAGGAGGAGGAGGAGGAGGAGGAGAUGGCGGCUCCGGCCCCGGCCCCAGCCGGUCGCUUUUCUCUAUCGGGGUUGGGCCCGGGGUCCCUUCUCCCGCGGGGGCAGUGGGCUGGCUGGCCCCCGGGGGGGCGGGGGCCCCCUACACCGGGCCCCGGGGAAGCCACUGGAAGCGAGGUGUCAAGAGGCCUCGUGAGGAGCAGAGCCGGGGCUUCGCCAACGGCUUGGAAGGCAACCAGUCCGAGCCGGUGCGGGCUGCGGGAACCGCCGCCGCCGCUCCCCCCCAGCAGCUGGCUCAGGGCCCCGCGCUGUCCCCACCGGGCCCGGCGGUGGCGCCUCAGGAGCAGCCCCUGGAGCCUUCGGCUUUCGGGCUGGGGAGGAGAAUGCGCCUGGUGCUGCUGGGCAACCGGGGCCCCAACUAGAAGCAACAGACAAGCGGAGAAGGAUCGGGACGGGCCUCUCCGAAAACGAACAACCACCUGAUUAAAAAUGUUAUACAGAUAACAUGUGAAGAAAGAUAACAGCAGAAAGGUCUCAAAAGAAGAUCUGCUCCUUCCAAGGCUCUGCCAUACUAUACUGUUGCUUACUACAAAAGAAUAUUUAAAGAACAAAUAAAAUUUGAAGGCAAAAUACUGUUUCAGUCUUGUGUUAUUUGCAGAAAUAAACAUAGAAUGGUAGAAUAUGCAUGAUUUUACAACAUUUCAGCAUCUUUGCU
rnacentral:lncRNA from 1 species